AUUGAACGCUGGCGGCAUGCCUUACACAUGCAAGUCGAGCGAGAAAGCUCCUUCGGGAGUUAGUAAAGCGGCGAACGGGUGAGCAACACGUGAGAAUCUACCCUUUAGUGAAGAAUACCCUCGAGAAAUCGAGGCUAAUACUGCAUACGUCCCUUCGGGGAGAAAGAUGGCCUCUUUGCUAUCGCUAAAGGAUGAGCUUGCGUACUAUUAGCUAGUUGGCGGGGUAAAGGCCCACCAAGGCAAUGAUGGUUAACCGGCCUGAGAGGGUGUACGGUCACACUGGAACUUAGACACGGUCCAGACUCCUACGGGAGGCAGCAGUGAGGAAUCUUGCGCAAUGGGCGAAAGCCUGACGCAGCGACGCCGCGUGGAGGAUGACGGUUUUCGGAUUGUAAACUCCUGUUAAGCGGGAAGAAAGCCUUGUUUCUAAUACAAGCAAGGUAUGACGGUACCGCUAGAGAAAGCACCGGCUAACUUCGUGCCAGCAGCCGCGGUAAAGUCGUCA
rnacentral:rRNA from 1 species